rnacentral:rRNA from 1 species
GUUGAAGGUGAAAUCGUAACAGGGUCUCCGUUGGUGAACCAGCGGAGGGAUCAUUACCGAGUUUACAACUCCCAAACCCCUGUGAACAUACCUAUACGUUGCCUCGGCCGGAUCAGCCCGCGCCCCGUAAAACGGGACGGCCCGCCCGAGGACCCCUAAACUCUGUUUUUAGUGGAACUUCUGAGUAAAACAAACAAAUAAAUCAAAACUUUCAACAACGGAUCUCUUGGUUCUGGCAUCGAUGAAGAACGCAGCAAAAUGCGAUAAGUAAUGUGAAUUGCAGAAUUCAGUGAAUCAUCGAAUCUUUGAACGCACAUUGGCGCCCGCCAGUAUUCUGGCGGGCAUGCCUGUUCGAGCGUCAUUUCAACCCUCAAGCUCAGCUUGGUGUUGGGACUCGCGGUAACCCGCGUUCCCCAAAUCGAUUUGGCGGUCACGUCGAGCUUCCAUAGCGUAGUAAUCAUACACCUCGUUACUGGUAAUCGUCGCGGCCACGCCGUUAAACCCCAACUU